rnacentral:rRNA from 12 species
UUUAUGGCCAUACUGUCCUGCAAGUGCCCGAUCCCUUCAGAAGCUAAGCGGGGCUGGGUCUGGUUAGUACUUGGAUGGGAGGAUGUCUUGAAAGACCAGGGGUCACUAGAC